rnacentral:lncRNA from 1 species
AGUGCUAAACAUCAUAUAUAUAUAUAUACACACACACACAUCAUACAUACACCACAUAUAUAUAUAUUAUAGAAUUGUAAACAUGAAAUCAAACAUCAACCAUAAAAUUACAUAUAUACACGUCAAUGCAUGUUAUCCGCACAACCAUACAGUGUUUACAUGUCGUUUCGCUUCAGAUUUAGACCUGCUAUGUCUAUCCGCACUUUAAAUUUAUCACUUGCUAAAUCGCCCUCAUGAUCAAAAUAUGCACCGUCACUUGGAAUUAUUUCUCUCAUAAUAAAACCACACAAGUCUGCUACUAUAUCUUCCAGAGUCUAUGGUGUAAAGGGCACGUCCUUUCCUUGCUUUUUUGGCUAGAAACAAAGUUUAAAAGUAUGAUUGACACAUGUUCAAUAUAUAAUUUUGCAACUUUAAUGAGAAAACUUCAUACAUAGAUAUUAUUUACGAUAUUUUUGUCCCUGACGUAACGUCCCCGCUGCCUUAUAAACUCACAGACAUAGUACCCACAAUAGACCGAUCCAGGUGGUUGCUUGUGGCACUAUAUGAUGAGCAACGGAUUAUUCUAAAUUUGCCAUGCUUUAUGUAUUAUUUAUAUGAUGAAAUGUGUUCGGACAACUUACCGGAUAGUGGUGUUGUAUCAUCAAUGGCACCCUAGGAUCUGAGCGUGCGGCGUCGACCGGUCCCUUUUGUUUCUUAUAAAACCGCCAUGCACAGAUAUCGAAUAUAAAUCACUAAAGUUAUUUUGAAACUGGUCCCUUGUGGAAAUCUAUUCCUUCCUCUGUCUCCUCUUGCCCGAUCACUCUUUUUUGUUUUACUUCUUGGCUCAGAGGAUGUCCCAGUCGUUUGAGGUGCUGUGUCCUUCUGAACAUCUUGUUCUUCUGCCUCCAUUUCGGCAACAAUUUGAGAUAACACCUCCUCUCCAUUCAAUUGUUAGGUACAUACAUAUAUACACAUGCAUUCUAUUGUAUAGACACUACUACAAUAUAUACCUCAUCAUCAUCUGGAUCAGCUUGAGGCUCGUAUGUCGGGUCAUGUUCCAACUCUAGACGAGCCUUCUUAGCUCUGGGGGAUUCACGUAGUGAUACGCUCGGGCUUCUAUAAGUGUCGGAUCCAGAGGUGUCGGAUCGCGGUGUUUCUAUCUGGGCUUCAGCAUUCGAUGGAGUACUCAUCUAAUUAAACAAAUAAUUUAUAAACAAUUAACUUACAAACUCUAAUUAACAAACCCUAAUUAACACUAGCGGACAUCCUGGAAACCCUACUCAACAAAUAACUAACAACUAAUUAAUAAAUAAAUAACUAACAAAUAAAUAACCCUAAUUAAAAAUCCUACUUAACAAUUAAUUAAUUAAUCAAUAAUUAGUAAAUAAAUAAAUAAUUAACAAUUAAUUAACUAGCUAACCCUAAUUAAGAAACCCUACUUAUCUAAUUAAUAACUAACAAAUAAUUAACCCUAAUUAAAAACUAAUUAAUAACUUAACAAAUAAAUAACUAAUUAAUAACUAACAAAUAAAUAACUAAUUAAUAACUAACAAAUAAAUAACUUAACAAAAAAUUAAUUAAUCAAUAAUUAAUAAGUAAAUAAAUAAUUAACAAAUAAAUAAUUUAUAAAUAAUUAUUAAUUAAUUAACAAAAAAAAUAAAAAAAAAGACAGCCAGGGCGUCCUGCCAGCCCAACAGGGCCCGGCAAGCCAGCUGCGUGGCUGCUGCCGGCGCUGGGAGUGGUGGCGGCGCGCACUACUGCUCACGGCUACUUCUUGCUCGCAGCAUUGUGGCUAGCGG